UACGGAGGGUGCGAGCGUUGUCCGGAAUCACUGGGCGUAAAGGGCGCGUAGGCGGCUCGUGAAGUCAGUGGUGAAAGCCCAGGGCUCAACUCUGGGUCGGCCACUGAUACUCGCGAGCUCGAGUUUGGUAGAGGCAGAUGGAAUUCCGGGUGUAGCGGUGGAAUGCGUAGAGAUCCGGAAGAACACCGGUGGCGAAGGCGGUCUGAGCUGG
rnacentral:rRNA from 1 species